rnacentral:lncRNA from 1 species
GCAGUGACUUGAUCUCUAAGUUAUCUCACUUAACUGUUAUUGACUAUACUCCUUAGUUAAGCCCGACCUACCGUUCACAAGCAGGUGCAAGACCGUCAUUGGGCCCCUCACCUAAUAGUUAUUGGGUCCAACCCCAUCCUUAUCCUGGAGUAACUCUUUACUAAUAGCGUGGUUGCAUAUUUUUGGUGCAACUAAACUAUUGUAACCAGCCGAGAACAAUCAACACCAGUAGCACACC